rnacentral:rRNA from 1 species
GAGGAAUAUUGGUCAAUGGGCGCGAGCCUGAACCAGCCAAGUAGCGUGAAGGAUGACUGCCCUAUGGGUUGUAAACUUCUUUUAUAAGGGAAUAAAGUGAGGCACGUGUGCCUUAUUGUAUGUACCUUAGGAAUAAGCAUCGGCUAACUCCGUGCCAGCAGCCGCGGUAAUACGGAGGAUGCAAGCGUUAUCCGGAUUUAUUGGGUUUAAAGGGAGCGUAGGCGGACUAUUAAGUCAGCUGUGAAAGUUUACGGCUCAACCGUGAAAUUGCAGUUGAAACUUGUUGUCUUUGGUGCAGUAAAGGUUGGCGGAAUUCGUUGUGUAACGGUUGAAUUCCUAGAUAUCACGAAGAAACCCAAUUGCGAAGGCAACUCACUGGAGUGUAACUGACGCUGAUGCUCGAAAGUGUGGGUAUCAAACA